rnacentral:rRNA from 1 species
GACGAACGCUGGCGGCGUGCUUAACACAUGCAAGUCGAACGGAAAGGCCUCUUUCGGGGGGUACUCGAGUGGCGAACGGGUGAGUAACACGUGAGUAACCUGCCCUUGACUUUGGGAUAACUUCAGGAAACUGGGGCUAAUACCGGAUAGGAGCUCCUGCUGCCUGGUGGGGGUUGGAAAGUUUCGGCGGUUGGGGGUGGACUUGCGGCUUAUCCGCUUGUUGGUGGGGUAGUGGCUUACCCAGGCUUUGACGGGUAGCCGGCCUGAGGGGGUGACAGGCCACAUUGGGACUGAGAGACGGCCCAGACUCCUACGGGAGGCAGCAGUGGGGAAGAUUGCACAAUGGGUGGAAGCCUGAUGCAGCAACGCCGUGUGCGGGAUGACGGCCUUCGGGUUGUAAACCGCUUUCGCUCAUGACGAAGCUUUGUGUGACGGUAGUGGGUAAAGAAGCACCGGCUAACUACGUG